rnacentral:rRNA from 1 species
GAUGAACGCUGGCGGCGUGCCUAAUACAUGCAAGUCGAGCGAACAGACGAGGAGCUUGCUCCUCUGACGUUAGCGGCGGACGGGUGAGUAACACGUGGAUAACCUACCUAUAAGACUGGGAUAACUUCGGGAAACCGGAGCUAAUACCGGAUAAUAUAUUGAACCGCAUGGUUCAAUAGUGAAAGACGGUUUUGCUGUCACUUAUAGAUGGAUCCGCGCCGCAUUAGCUAGUUGGUAAGGUAACGGCUUACCAAGGCGACGAUGCGUAGCCGACCUGAGAGGGUGAUCGGCCACACUGGAACUGAGACACGGUCCAGACUCCUACGGGAGGCAGCAGUAGGGAAUCUUCCGCAAUGGGCGAAAGCCUGACGGAGCAACGCCGCGUGAGUGAUGUAGGUCUUCGGAUCGUAAAACUCUGUUAUUAGGGAAGAACAAAUGUGUAAGAAACUAUGCACGUCUUGACGGUACCUAAUCAGAAAGCCACGGCUAACUACGUG